rnacentral:tRNA from 1 species
UGCCGGGAUGGCGGAACAGGCAGACGCAGGGGACUUAAAAUCCCCCGACCGUAAUGGUCGUGCGGGUUCGAUUCCCGCUCCCGGCAG